rnacentral:rRNA from 1 species
GACCUCAGAUCAGACGAGACGACCCG